CUAUCAGCUAGUUAUAAAUACGUCUAUCUCCUUAUUGGUUUUGUCCAUGUGCUCAGAGUUGGCUGGAGUUCCAUCAGGAAGCCAAACCAAGUCAUUUGGUUAAGAGUCCAUCCUGGAAAACAGGGCGGCUUCAAUGCCAGUGCUGCUCAAAGGCUGUGUGCGUGUUUAAGAGUCUAGGAAUCCUGUGAAGACACAGUUCUGCUUCAGCUGGUGGAGAUCAUGAUAUAGCUCUCAGCUAAUGCUCUGAAGCCUGCCUGAGUGCUGCCAUGCUUUCUCCCUGCCAUGAUGACAAUGGACUAAGCCUCUGAAGCUAUAAGUAAGCCACCAAUUAAAUGCAUUCUUUUUUAAGAACUGUGACUAAGGCAGUGUGUGGGUGUUUGUCUACAUAUAUGUAUCUGCACCAUAAGUAAGCAGUGUUUGUGGAGGUCAGAAGAGGGUGUCAGAUCCCAUGGACCCUGAGUUACAGAUGGUUGUAAGGCACCAUGUGGGUCCUUUGGAAGAACAGCAAGUGCUUUUAAUCACUGAGCCAUCUCUGUAGCCCCCAGAUGGAGAAUUAAAAACAAACAAUGGAACCCACCAGUGAAUUAGAAAGGUAUUAAAACACUUAAGCUGGAUACUGAGUAGACAGCUAUUAAAAUCCUAGCAUGGAGUAGUAAAGGAGCUUCGGGUGCUGCUCACAGCACAGAGUUGAGCAGACAAGUUCUCCUUCAGCAGGGCAGGAAGCCCUCAGUGUUUGCUGAAAUAUUGCUUUUCUUUUUUAAUUAAAAAGACAAGGCACUUGGGUAAAUGUAAUUACUGUGUAUGCCACUUCCAAAGCACAGUUGAUAGCAUCUUGUCUUAAAAGGAGGAAGCCAGCUUAGACAGAAGAAACUCUAGUCUGUGUCUAUCCUCUAGGGCAGCCUCCCCUUCUCCUUCACCUAUUUUGGCCCAGCCUCUGCCAUCAGGGAACAGAGUCUCAGAGGAGGAUGUGGUACAAGGGAGAAGAUACCAAUGGAAUCCUGUGCUGGUGCUGAAGUUGCUCUAGAAACAGCCAUGCUCACACCUUCACUUUAUGGAAGAGAAAAUGAGGUCCAGGAAGGUUAAGUUUGCCUGAGACUAUACACACAGCUACUGUCCGAGUAGGGCUGAAGCCCACCCAGGUCUCUCCUGAGGUUCUGGGGUGUGAUGUGGCUCCAGGAUGCCCGCUGCUUCUCCUUUGCCACCAGAGAAGCCAUCAGAUCAUUUGCCAGGCAGGCCCUGGACUCGGUCUACAUUCCCAGUCUGUAGUUCACACCCCUGAAAAUCCAAAUGGGGGCUGAAGAGUUUCCUGCAGCAGCCUGCACAGCAGCACAGCCUGGGCAGAGCAGAGCACAUCUAUCUGGCCACUGUGGGAUGCCAACCAGGGAGGUCUGGAAGCUGCUUGUGAGGAGAAGCCACACAGACAUAAACUCAUGUUUGGCAGGCUGGGUCCAUGGAUGGGCACAGUACUAGAAUGAAUAGCUUGGAGGUAAAUGAUGUGUGGGAUGUGGUGACGUGUGUGUGUAUAUUAUACCUGCAUGUCUGUGUCAGUGUGCACAGAGAAGGUUACGUGUGUUGUGUGACUUUUCCUAGGGAGAUGUGGAGAAUCGUCUGUUCACUUCUGUCAGGGCACCUACAGACCAAAGGAACAAUUCCAUUCAAACCCAGCUUGGCAGACAGUCCCAUGAGUUUAUUGGGUUUAUGUAUAGGGGCUUGGAUACGCAGUUACUAAUAGGGAGUAUUGGUGACUCGUGUGAAUGGCAGUUCCCAGAAGUAAACUGCACCCCUCUCGAAGAAUCCACAAGACGGAAUGACUGAGUAGGACCUUGUGGUUUUGGAGUGUUAGAGUGUUGCCACUAACUAGUCACAGAGACCAGGCAGUAGUGACAGACACCUUUAAUCCCAGCAGAGGCAGAGGAAGAUGGAUCUCUGAGUUCAAGGCCACCCUGGGCUAUACAAGAUUGAUCCUGUCUAAAAGAGAAACAGAGCCAGUCAGUGGUGGCUCACACCUUUAAUGCCAGCACGAGGGAGGCGGAGAGAGGAGUGAUAUGGCUGGUCGGAAAGAGGGAUAUAAGACGGGAGGAGACAGGAGCUCAGUGCAUUCAGUCUGAGGUUUUGGAGAGACAGGAAUGCCCAUUUGGUUUGAGGGUUCCCCCAAGGAUCCUCUUGGAGCCAACAGUAGGAUCAAUGUUGGAUAUGAUCAGGGCACCCUUGGCUUGGCUGAUGCUCCAUUGACUGGCUGCUUGGGUAGCUGUUUUGUUUUCAGUCAUCGGUUGUUUUGGCUCAUAUCAGAAUGCCCCUGUGUUUGCUGCCGUUCCUUUUCUCCUGCCACUUUGUAAUGUUUUAAUUCUAUGUGUUUUGGUGACUUAUGUUUAUUGCACACUUGCUCCUUUUUGUUUAUUGCAAACUUGCAAUAACAUCAGGGAGAAUACCACACAUGCUAUCAUGAGUAAGUCCCAGAAAACACCUUAUUCCUGGGUUGAAGGGGUUUGGUUGGGAUGAGCGCUGGUGCUCAGUUCCCUUUCUCCUUAUUCAGUCCACAACCCCAGCCCAGGGAUGGCGCUACUCAUAUCCAGGGUGUGUUGUCUCUCCUCGGUUAGACAUUUCUCAAAGACAUACCAAGCUGUGUGUCUCUGUGUCAAGUUGAUAAUGAAGGUGAACCACACAGGGAUACUGUCUGUUUGCCUAUGCCCUCCCUUCUCUCUUCUCCUUCCCUGUCAUUGCCUCUUUUGAAAAGCCAGGUAGUCUACAUCCUUAGCCCAGCCUAGCUAAAGUAAACACAUUUAAGACUUAAUUGUAAAAUUUGAGACCUCAGAAAAACUCAUUAUGUAAGAAAUUGAUUGCAGGCUUGAUAAAAAUGCGGAUAAUAAAAUAUUUGUUUAUUUUGUAAAGAUUUGAUUUUUUGUGUGUGUGUGUUGUGUGUGUG
ensembl:lncRNA